CAGAGUCUGGAGCAGAGUGAGGAACUCUGGAAUCUCACAUGAGCUACAUUAAGUAGGAGAGUGGACAGGCCCUGUGGCCUUGCCUCUGUUACCACACUCUGCGAGUGACUCCAAACACACCCAGACAUAGCCUCUCCUGAGUUCCUGGUGUUUAGACUGCACAGCCCCUUCCCAUGUGGCUCGAUGGUCUCUGGGGGCCGGCAGCCUUGGCUGGCUGGGAUCUGUCUGGAGGACUGGCACACUGGGCUGUGUGCCAGGAAGGCGGCCACAAAACAAUGAGACACAGAAAGUGAGAACAUGACACCGUGGAAUGCUGUGCAGAUGUGAGGGGCCGAGACUAGCAGACCGAGUUGCUUAACCAUCCCAAGGACCUGUCGGAACGAUCACUUUCUUAUCUACCUGAACACAGAAGGUUGGGCAGCUUCUCCAAGAUCAGAGAGUCAAUAACGUGCAGAACAAAGAGUGGACACCAGUAUCCGCCCUUCGGACCUAAGAAGUGAGGCCUGGGUCCACACAACCACUGCAAACCAUGAGAAGGGAGGCUUCCAAGUGAAGAUCUGUGUGGCAAGAGCGGCUCGGAAGUCAAAGCUUUCUAAAACUGUAUUUAAUCUUUUA